UACAGAGACUGCAAGCGUUAUUCGGAUUCACUGGGCGUAAAGGGUGCGCAGGCGGCCAGAUGUGUCAGGUGUGAAAGCCCGGGGCUUAACCCCGGAAUUGCGCCUGAAACUGUCUGGCUAGAGUACUGGAGAGGGUAGCGGAAUUCACGGUGUAGCAGUGAAAUGCGUAGAUAUCGUGAGGAACACCAGAGGCGAAGGCGGCUACCUGGACAGUAACUGACGCUCAGGCACGAAAGCGUGGGGAGCAAAAGGGAUUAGAAACCCCUGUAGU
rnacentral:rRNA from 1 species